GAUGAACGCUGGCGGCGUGCCUAACACAUGCAAGUCGAGCGAUUCUCUUCGGAGAAGAGCGGCGGACGGGUGAGUAACGCGUGGGUAACCUGCCCUGUACACACGGAUAACAUACCGAAAGGUAUGCUAAUACGAGAUAAUAUACUUUUAUCACAUGGUAGAAGUAUCAAAGCUUUUGCGGUACAGGAUGGACCCGCGUCUGAUUAGCUAGUUGGUAAGGUAACGGCUUACCAAGGCGACGAUCAGUAGCCGACCUGAGAGGGUGAUCGGCCACAUUGGAACUGAGACACGGUCCAAACUCCUACGGGAGGCAGCAGUGGGGAAUAUUGCACAAUGGGCGAAAGCCUGAUGCAGCAACGCCGCGUGAGUGAUGAAGGCCUUCGGGUCGUAAAGCUCUGUCCUCAAGGAAGAUAAUGACGGUACCGUAAGAAUAAGCACCGGCUAACUACGUGCCAGCCGCCGCAGUAA
rnacentral:rRNA from 1 species